UGCGGGCAUCUAAGUGUGACGAAAGGUUUGGCGGACAUGGAUGGGGAUGCGUCCGAUUAGCUAGUUGGCGGGGUAACGGCCACCAAGGCGACGAUCGGUAGGGGUUCUGAGAGGAAGGUCCCCCACAUUGGAACUGAGACACGGUCCAAACUCCUACGGGAGGCAGCAGUGAGGAAUAUUGGUCAAUGGACGUAAGUCUGAACCAGCCAAGUAGCGUGCAGGAUGACGGCCCUAUGGGUUGUAAACUGCUUUUAUGCGGGGAUAAAGUGUGGGACCGUGUCCCAUAUUGCAGGUACUGCAUGAAUAAGGACCGGCUAAUUCCGUG
rnacentral:rRNA from 1 species